GACGUAGGGCGCGAGCGUUGUCCGGAUUUAUUGGGCGUAAAGAGCGUGUAGGCGGCCAGGUAGGUCUGCUGUGAAAACUCGAGGCUCAACCUCGAGACGUCGGCGGAAACCAUCUGGCUAGAGUCCGGAAGAGGAGAGUGGAAUUCCUGGUGUAGCGGUGAAAUGCGCAGAUAUCAGGAAGAACACCCGUGGCGAAGGCGGCUCGCUGGGACGUGACUGACGCUGAGACGCGAAAGCGUGGGGAGCAAACAGG
rnacentral:rRNA from 1 species